UGAAAAUGAGCUGGUGAAGCAGCUGAUACACGAACAUCGUUCCUGUAACUGCUUGUUGCUAUAAUCACGGAGCCAGCAACAAGCAUAACGCAGUCGAUGCAAUCACUCCCAUCAUCCAACAGAUCUUCAAGGUCUUUAUCUGAAAUGUCAGAGGCACCUACAGAUAGAGAGAAGAUGAUAUCACUGUUAAAUACAAUGGGAUGUGAUUGUGCACCCUGGAAUCAGGUAUUUAAGUGCAAGUUAUAUUCUAGGGUUUGAACACCUCAAAUGUCGAAUGACAAUUCAGGAAUUUGUGCUCAUCUGCCAAUGACAAGUGGAAUUUGCCCAUUGUAAUUGAUCAGUAUCCUGACCUGCUGAGUAUUUCCAGCAUUUUAGGCUUUUACAACAUAUUUGCGGUUUGGAUCAUUUUGAAGGGGUUGAUCUUCAUGUACAAGGUUUUUUUUUGAGAUGACCAUGUUCAACAUUCAGAGUGUUUGGUAGGAUUCCAGUGGGUGACUGCUAGGGUCCGGAAGGUUCUGCUGCAAAUUGGACAGUAUACCAGAGGUGGCUGAGUUUUGGUCACUACACAUGCGUUUUGUCCACAAAACAGAAACACAUCAGAUAUGGCUGCAAUUGGGUGGAUUAUUGUUUAUUCAACCCAGACAACAAGUAAACCAGGACUAUGAGGUAAAGCACCUAGGCACCCACAUUCAGCUUGGAAAGUGCCUUAUUAUAUUUUACUUCUCCCUCCCGAGGACAGGAUACUCUUAAGACAGGGCGCUUCUUAAAUCUCUAACAAAGGAUUUAUUCAACUACCAGCAUCUUUCCACCUGAGAUCAUCAAUGAUCAAACACUGCAAGAAUCUUGCUCCAAACAAUGUGAUGUCUACACGAUAGGUAAAAAUAUACCCUUGGAAUAUGCUUGUCUUUCCAUAAAAUUGGCCAAGCUUGGAAAAGUGUGAUAUCGCUGUUCUCCUUCAACGGGAAACAUUUGGAUCUACAGCGUCUACGAGCCAGAUUAUAUUAAAUUAAUCAAUUUACUAACAUUUGCAAAUUUGGGGUGGUUUUAUGUCCUGGGGCCACAUCUGGUAGGAACUAUGCUCAAUCAGUGCAAACUUAUCAGUUGGAGUGGGUUCAAGUAAGGUCUGUUGUGUGUAAAUAUUACAAGCAAAGUGAAUUUGCAUGUGGAACUACGCUUUAGUUUUAACUUGUUCUUGGGGAUAUAUGUGUAUUUUAGAUAUAUUUAAUUGUCUGCAGGUGGUGAAUGCAUUAACUGGAGAUUCACUUGUGCUCCUAUAAAUAGGAACAGACUGAAACUGUGGAUGUUGAGUUAGGAGGUACGUGUACAUUGGGUUUUACAUUGCAAUGUGUAUCUCUGUAAAUAAAUUUUGAUACAAAAU